UCUUACGGAUGAGCAAUGAAAGUGGUUUCUCGAGAUGGAAUUUACUCUGGUGAAGAUGCUGUGAA
rnacentral:pre_miRNA from 1 species